GACGAACGCUGGCGGCGUGCUUAACACAUGCAAGUCGAACGGAAAGGCCCUGCUUUUGUGGGGUGCUCGAGUGGCGAACGGGUGAGUAACACGUGAGUAACCUGCCCUUGACUUUGGGAUAACUUCAGGAAACUGGGGCUAAUACCGGAUAGGAGCUCCUGCUGCAUGGUGGGGGUUGGAAAGUUUCGGCGGUUGGGGAUGGACUCGCGGCUUAUCAGCUUGUUGGUGGGGGAGGGGCUUACCAAGGCUUUGACGGGUAGCCGGCCUGAGAGGGUGACCGGCCACAUUGGGACUGAGAUACGGCCCAGACUCCUACGGGAGGCAGCAGUGGGGAAUAUUGCACAAUGGGCGGAAGCCUGAUGCAGCAACGCCGCGUGCGGGAUGACGGCCUUCGGGUUGUAAACCGCUUUCGCCUGUGACGAAGCGUGAGUGACGGUAAUGGGUAAAGAAGCACCGGCUAACUACGUG
rnacentral:rRNA from 1 species